rnacentral:rRNA from 1 species
CAGCCGCCGCGGUAACACGUAGGGUGCAAGCGUUAAUCGGAAUUACUGGGCGUAAAGCGUGCGCAGGCGGUUUGUUAAGACAGAUGUGAAAUCCCCGGGCUCAACCUGGGAACUGCAUUUGUGACUGGCAGGCUAGAGUAUGGCAGAGGGGGGUGGAAUUCCGCGUGUAGCAGUGAAAUGCGUAGAUAUGCGGAGGAACACCGAUGGCGAAGGCAGCCCCCUGGGCCAAUACUGACGCUCAUGCACGAAAGCGUGGGGAGCAAACAGGAUUAGAGACCCCUGUAGUCCCUGUCUCUUAUAC